rnacentral:rRNA from 1 species
GACAGAGGGGGCAAGCGUUGCUCGGAAUUACUGGGCGUAAAGGGCGCGUAGGCGGAAUGGCAAGUCGGUCGUGAAAUCCUUCGGCUCAACCGAAGAACGUCGAUCGAAACUGCCGUUCUUGAGGAUUGCAGAGGAGACUGGAAUUCCCGGUGUAGCGGUGAAAUGUGUAGAGAUCGGGAGGAACACCGGUGGCGAAGGCGGGUCUCUGGGCAAUUCCUGACGCUGAGGCACAAGACGUGGGGAGCAAACAGGG